rnacentral:rRNA from 1 species
AUGUCUUCAAGUUUCAGCUGGGGCUACAUGGAGGGCCCGUUCAAGGGCCACCCUCCGCACGGCUGCCGCGUUGAGUUCUUCGAUGUCCGUGUCUUCCACGUCGAUGAAGACACCAAGGUGGAGAAGGCAGAGUUCUUCUACGAGCGUGGCAACUUCCUCGCAAACUUCUUGUCUGCGCCUGCUACUUCUGCUUCUGCUGCGUCGGCUUAA